GUAUACGAACCGGUUUACUGGAGUUGUUUCUCCAUAUAUUACCAGAGAGGAGAGCAGGGGUGGAAUGUACAGCACUUUACAGAUUGGAUGCCCUGAACAUGUCCACAGAUCAAGAACUUCCUGUCACUGCUAAACUCCUCCACCUCAUCUUCCUCUCCACGUUCUGGGGCAUGCAGAUAUGGGUCACCUUUAUUUCUGGCUUUGUGAUGGACAGCCAUCUAAACAGGCACACCUAUGGCUUCAUUCAGAGUCGACUCUUCCCUUUCUACCUGCACAUUGGCUCAGCUUGUGCCUUCUUCAGCCUGGCUAUUUUUGCCAUGUACCAUCCAAGUGACCUGCUGGAUGAAAAAGAAGCCUUUCAGAUCUUUAUUUUCUUCGUGUGUGUAACGGUGGCGGCUGUGAAUGCCCAGUGGUUUGGCCAGCUGACCUCCGAGAUCAUGGCAGACAUGCACCUGAUUGAGCAGGCCUGCGGACUGGGCCAGGAUAUUGGGCUCUCAUCUAAUCGCGAGGCUUACUCCAAACUGUGUGACAAAGACCCCAAGUACAAGCAGCUAAGCAAGCGGUUAUGGCUUUACCACCUCCUGUCGUCCCUCUGUAACCUGUGCUGCAUUGUUUGUAAUGGCUACAGCCUGUAUUACCUGGCAGAGAACCUCACUAAGAUUUGAUUUUGCUGUAGCUCCCGUUGAAUCGAAGGAUACAUUGUUCACUAGGAACACAAUGCAAGAACCUUGACGUCUGGAACUGUUGUCAAACAUCUAAUAGUGUACUGGUCAGUUUUUUUAAACGUUCUUUCUGCUCUGUUUAGUGUGAUGUUACAAAAUAUAGUGACUUGAUCUGAUGUACAUAACAUUCACAAAAACCUGUGGUUACAAAAACUGUUGUUGUUAAAUGAUGGAGCAUCGAUCACUGACUUCUAGAUUAAACCAACAAAGCAUCAUGUAAAUUGUAUUUAAAUGUAUUUAACUCUGAUUAAUGAUUACAUGCAUUUCACACCAUGCACUUAUCUCAUUUUGUUUAUGGUAAAGGGUCUUUAGGCAACAAUACAUGCAUGAGAAGAAGGAAUUCAUUGUGUUAUGGUCAGUCUUCCAUUUUUCAGAAAUAGGGCUAGAGUGCCCAGGUGGCGCAGCGGGAUAUUCCGCUAGCACAUGAGCACCGAGAUUCUGAACACCUUGGUUUGAAACUUGAUGUUUCCACUGGUCGGCUGGGCACCAUCUAGCGGGAAGACACGUUUCUGCUAGGGCGGGAUGCCCGGACUAUGUGGUUGGGGUCUUCAAACACUGUGAAAGGACAGUGAUUAGCAGAUAGAGAGGUGCCUAUGCAGAACGCAUGGGUGAAAAAGGGUCCCGCUAAGGGGUGCACAUGGGUCGGAGGAGGCGUGAGCAGCAAUAUACCCACCUCGACUGCAAUCAGGGAUCCCCCAGCAGCAGAAGACAAACUGACUAUGCUAAAUUGGGAGAAAAUGCAUAAAUAAAAUAGAAAUUUUUUUUUGAGAUAGUUUGUUUGCACCCAUUGGACAGUAAAUGAAACAGUGGUAUCUUGCCAAGGUUGGGGAAAAAACCCAAACUCUCAGUUUAGGUUAUGAGGAAACUUGUC